UUAACAUUUUUUUGUCAAAUUCUUAUUUUCAAUAGGAGGUGCAAUUUCUUCCUGCCAAGAUGUUGACUGACACAGCAAUGAGUUCGCUUUUGCUUAUAUUGAGCCUCAGGAGAUUUUGAGAUGUCCAUGAGGGUAGAUCCAGCAGGCCACAAGUGCCAGCAGCUGUACAGAUACUUCUGUUUAGCCAUUUCCACAGUCCAAGGAUAGGUGGAUGAGGAGCAUCCUGCUUUCUCCUGGCUCUGGGGGAAUAAAGAAGGGUGAGUGCUACAGGAAUCUUAAAUAUGGGUGACAUAGGAACCUAAUAAACGUUAAUUUUCCAAGUAGGGGUGUUGACAGGAGGAGGAUAAUGGGGGCCCAGACCAAAUCUCCAUAACUGGUCGCAUGUUCUAAUUUUAGUUUGCUUACAUUGGAUAUUUAUGGGUGUGUCUUUAGAGACUGAAAAGUACUCUUUUUCCUAGCUAUGGGAUUUAUACCUUGUUGGGAAAAUGUAUACAAACUUGCCUCCAUGGCGAGCUAAAUCCUGAGAGUGAACUGGACAUUAUUUGUA